rnacentral:rRNA from 1 species
UACGUAGGCAGCGAGCGUUGUUCGGAGUUACUGGGCGUAAAGAGCGUGUAGGCGGCCAGACAGGUCUGCUGUGAAAACUCGAGGCUCAACCUCGAGACGCCGGUGGAAACCGUCUGGCUAGAGUCCGGAAGAGGAGAGUGGAAUUCCUGGUGUAGCGGUGGAAUGCGCAGAUAUCGGGAGGAACACCCGUGGCGAAGGCGGCACUCUGGGACGGUACUGACGCUGAGACGCGAAAGCGUGGAGAGCAAACAGG